rnacentral:lncRNA from 1 species
CCUCCCAAUUAACAACAACAAUGGUGGGCUGGGCGAAGAGAAACGGCAUUAGAUGAUGCAAAAUCUCUUCGGAGAUCAAUCAAUCAAUCAAUCAGAAGAAGAAGAGGUUGUUGAAUCGGAGCACGAAUCAAACCGACAACCCGAUUAUGCUUCGCAUAAAGCUUCUGGAGGCAGUCUCAAGCGCCAUUAGAUUGAAUCAGAUGAGGAGUCUCCCCAAAAAGGCAGCUGCCGCAUCUCAUUGUCGAAAGGCGCUUGUUUAUGAUAGCUAUGAAGAGUAAAAUAUAUGCGACUUGAUUCAUAGCACUACAAACUCACUGAGGACCACAAUGGUGAAUGGUGAAUGGUUGAUGGUCAACAAACACAACAAAACAUAUCUUACCUUUUUUUCUCUGCUCACAUGUGACAACAUCAACAUAUCACAUUUCGUAUCAGUUUUCUUAAGUUUUUUAGUAGCUAAUGUUGUCUUGUACUUUGUUGUAUAUAAUCUUUUCAUGCUUGUUUGAUCAUUAUUGC